UGGAAGCCACGCGGAAGUUCCUAAGCCGGUAUUUGAAACGUAAACUCGUCGGCUAAAAUGGAAAUAACCGGCACCUGGAAACCUGGACUUGUCUUUUCGGAGCCACCUUUCCCGCCAUCACCUCUGUGUCUCCGGGCUCCCAUAAUCGUCCCUAUGGUCUGCCGGUCGUGUGGUUGCCUGCAGAGCGCCUUCUGGACCCCCGGCUGCUUGAACCGCCAAUACCUUGUCAUUCCUCUUAGAGGGACCAGUGCGGUGCUGUGAAUAGAACCAUCACAGUGGAGACGCCCAGUGCUGCACUGUACCCAUAGGAAACAACUCUGGCGCGCAGAUUUUCUCAUUAACUCCAAUGACGACGUCGCUGCACACAUCUCCAACCAGUUUAUGCACAGCUCCAAUUCUGUGCAGGGAGGAUGCAAAACAGCAAACUCUCCGCGGUAGGACUUUCUGGAGCAUCAAUACUACUACAAGAUUUGGAAGAAAUGAAGUCAUUUCCAAGGAGCAUCUCCUCUCCCUGAUAAACAUGAAAGACGAGAGAAAAGAGCAGGAGGGGAGAAGUACCCUGGGACAACAGUCCGGUCUCUGAAGAUUCCCCCAGGUUGGGACAGAGGACCUGCCUGCCGCCAGGACCAGCCUCUCCUCUUAAUCUCCCAGUGGCACCGAGCCAUCCUUUAAGCUCACCAUUUAAUUUUUUUUUAAUGUUCUUUGAGAGACAGGGAGAGACAGUGGGAACAGGGGAGGGUCAGAGAGAG